UAUAGAGAUGUAUCAGUCAGCAAUGACCUGAACAAGGUGCUGCAUGGCUGUCGUCAGCUCGUGCCGUGAGGUGUUGGGUUAAGUCCCGCAACCGAGCGCAACCCCUGUUAUCAGUUGCCAUCGGGUAGAGCCGGGGACUCUGAUAAGACUGCCUGCGCAAGCAGAGAGGAAGGAGGGGACGACGUCAAGUCAUCAUGGCCCUUACGCCCAGGGCGACACACGUGCUACAAUGGCGCAUACAGCGGGUAGCUACCUGGCAACAGGAUGCCAACCUCUAAAAGUGCGUCUCAGUUCGGAUUGGGGUCUGCAACCCGACCCCAUGAAGCUGGAAUCGCUAGUAAUCGCGCAUCAGCCAUGGCGCGGUGAAUACGUUCCCGGACCUU
rnacentral:rRNA from 1 species